rnacentral:rRNA from 1 species
GUAGGUGGCAAGCGUUGUCCGGAAUUAUUGGGGCGUAGAGCGCGCGCAGGCGGUUCUUUAAGUCUGAUGUGAAAGCCCACGGGCUCAACCGUGGAGGGUCAUUGGAAACUGGAGAACUUGAGUACAGAAGAGGAAAGCGGAAUUCCACGUGUAGCGGUGAAAUGCGUAGAGAUGUGGAGGAACACCAGUGGCGAAGGCGGCUUUCUGGUCUGUAACUGACGCUGAGGCGCGAAAGCGUGGGGAGCAAACAGGAUUAGAUACCCUGGUAGUCCACGCCGUAAACGAUGAGUGCUAAGUGUUAGGGGGUUUCCGCCCCUUAGUGCUGCAGCUAACGCAUUAAGCACUCCGCCUGGGGAGUACGGCCGCAAGGCUG